ACAAGAAAGAAGAAGCAACCCGCUUCUCGCCUCGUUAACACGAACGUUUUCAGGCAAAAAAUUCAAACUUUCGUCGCGUAGCUUACGCGAUUUUGAAUGUGCGGGAUUGCUGAAAAGCAGCCCGUUUUUUUAUGGCCUC
rfam:Listeria monocytogenes EGD-e, complete genome